AAUCAUUAAAAACAGGGGAAAAGAAAGGAGGCAUAUUGAGAUAAAUCCCACAACCGUUGGGCACUAGGAGACACUUAAAUUAUUCAAAGUUAAGGAGAAAAGACAUGAGGGGCCUGCCCCAGAGCCAGCAAAAACACAUAUGAAUUCAUUAAUGAUCCUUUUUCCGUAGGGUGACUGCGGAAGGAU
rnacentral:rRNA from 1 species